rnacentral:rRNA from 1 species
UACAGAGGUCCCAAGCGUUGUUCGGAUUCAUUGGGCGUAAAGGGCGCGUAGGCGGCCUGGCAAGUGGAAGGUGAAAUCCCUCGGCUUAACCCGAGGAACUGCCUCCCAAACUGCUUGGCUUGAGACCGGAAGAGGCGAGUGGAAUUCCCGGUGUAGCGGUGAAAUGCGUCGAUAUCAGGAGGAACACCAGUAGGCGAAGGCAGG